rnacentral:rRNA from 1 species
AUGCACGCUGGCGGCGUGCCUAAUACAUGCCAGUCGCGCGAACAGAUAAGGAGCUUGCUCCUUUGACGUUAGCGGCGGACGGGUGAGUAACACGUGGGUAACCUACCUAUAAGACUGGGAUAACUUCGGGAAACCGGAGCUAAUACCGGAUAACAUUUGGAACCGCAUGGUUCUAAAGUGAAAGAUGGUUUUGCUAUCACUUAUAGAUGGACCCGCGCCGUAUUAGCUAGUUGGUAAGGUAACGGCUUACCAAGGCAACGAUACGUAGCCGACCUGAGAGGGUGAUCGGCCACACUGGAACUGAGACACGGUCCAGACUCCUACGGGAGGCAGCAGUAGGGAAUCUUCCGCAAUGGGCGAAAGCCUGACGGAGCAACGCCGCGUGAGUGAUGAAGGGUUUCGGCUCGUAAAACUCUGUUAUUAGGGAAGAACAAACGUGUAAGUAACUGUGCACGUCUUGACGGUACCUAAUCAGAAAGCCACGGCUAACUACGUG